rnacentral:rRNA from 1 species
UACGAAGGGUGCAAGCGUUACUCGGAAUUACUGGGCGUAAAGCGUGCGUAGGUGGUUCGUUAAGUCUGAUGUGAAAGCCCUGGGCUCAACCUGGGAAUGGCAUUGGAUACUGGCGAUCUAGAGUGCGGUAGAGGGCAGUGGAAUUCCCGGUGUAGCAGUGAAAUGCGUAGAGAUCGGGAGGAACAUCUGUGGCGAGGGCGACUGCCUGGACCAGCACUGACACUGAGGCACGAAAGCGUGGGGAGCAAACAGG